UUGAAAGGGAAACGAUUGAAGUCAGUCGUACCAACGGAAAAUCAGCUCUUCGAGUGCGGACUUGUGGGUUACGUGAGCUUUACGGCCUCGUUGUUUGCAAUGUUCGUUCUUUUUGGGUGUACUUUUUCGUAUGGUUGGCCAAUAUCAGUUUCGAUCGCUAUAAAAUGACCGGCGGAAUGUAGCUUCGAUCUCGUAUUGAAGUGUUAUAGCCUCUGGUAGAUGUGGUGAUUGGGACUGAGGAUUGCAACGAAUACCUUUUGGGCUAUCCGUCUGACCUCUGAUGGUUAGCUGGGUGCCGAAAGCAUGCUUACGGUUAUCCAAGUUGACUGUCAAUAGAUUAGAACGUGAUUACAUUCGUUAAGGAUGUUGACGUA
rnacentral:rRNA from 1 species